GCAGAUGGUUAAGGGUUUCCCAGAAGGUUUCAGGAUAAAAGAGCAGCGGGUACACAUGUCAGCAGGGAGGAUGCUGAGCGCAUGUGCACUCAGGGACCCUGCCUGGUGUGGACGCUGGGAAGGGAUGAGCAGGGAGGAGUUUCCUAGCCCAGGGACUGGUUUUAUCUGCAGGAAACUUGCCUUGUUGCCUGGGAUACGAUAGAAGAUCUUUAAACAGCAGUGAAAUCUGGGCUUGGGAGAAGAGCUGUCAGUUAACAUUUGAAAUGCCCUCAUCAGAAGUAGCCACUCAAGGUGGAAGAGGGAGAUGUGGACACCUGGAAAGUGGGCCUUGGAAGAAAGCUGAUCUGCAGUCGCUCCUCGCAGGCAGGUCCCACAGCUAUUUCCAACAUCACUGAUUUCAGUCUGCACCUGAGUGGCUCUAUGCUGGGAGGCGGCGUGUUGAUUCCAACAGGCUAACCCAUCAGUAGGGGAAUGUGGAGUGGGCAUUAGACCAGCGAUGGUGUCCCUUGAGGAUAGUUAUGAAGAAAGGGCCCAGAAAUGUCUAUGUAGGUUUCAUUUCUUUUUGUCCUUUUUCAUUGUACUUUAUUGAAGUAUCAUUUGCAGUAUCUUAGGAGAUGAUCCUUGACCACGGCUGAAGUGAGUCAUUUGUGAAUUAGCAGAGAAUGCCCUGAGCUCUGCCCAGUGUUGCUCAUGGCCAUGGUUCUCCUCUGUAUGUUCUACCACUUGGAAGAGGAAUCUCAAAAAGCUGUGCCCAGAAAUGCAGCUACACUGCCACUCUGCUGUCCUAAUGGAGAAAUGCACCGUGAUUGACAAGGGUCCAUCACGCUGCUGGAAUGCAUUUCGGCAAGGAACAAAGGAUAUUUUAAAGUUCUUGUUAUAAACAUAUGGCACUCUCAGAUUUAAAUACAAGAUAAAACAAAGUUGCAGACUUGAUAAAGCGAAUGAGAAAAUCGGGGUGAUGUUUCAGUCUACACACAAAGGCGUUGUCAACCAUGCUUCAUUGUGGUAAGGAUUGAGAGUUAAAAGGAAAUGGAAAUUCUUGCGGCCCAAGUUAACUUGAAAAUGUCAUCGUUAGGAAAGCAACCGAGGAAAGCUGUGGCAGUGAGGAAAAGGAGUUUACCUCCUGGGGGUCCCCCGGUGCCAUCUUCCUGGAGAGCCCCCUCCUCUUCCUCCAACCAGCCACCUGGGGAGUUCGGUGCCUCUCCCAGGCACAGGGACUGCUGCGCAGAGCUGAGACACACGUCCAUAGCUGGAGCCUGCUGGGAGGAAAGAACUGGACAAGACCCGUGUCACUUGGCCCAAGGAAAGUCUGACUCUCCCUGAAGGAUCCAAAGAGUGUAGCUUAUCGCCUUAGCAUCUGCUGAGCCGAAAAGAUCAACUGCUUUUCAGCUUAGUUCCCUGGGAGAGCCAGGAGCCACCCAAGGAACUGCCAUUUGGCUUUGCAGAGCAAGGUACAGAGAGAACAUGAAACACAACCGAGUCCUCACAUGGAGAAAAGCAAACUCAGAGCAGGUGUAGCCCGGGAACAAGACUGUCACUCGGGGCUAGAGCAAGGUUUGGUUAUUUUGUAACCUUUGCCAUUCUCUAGUGUCACCCAGUGUUGUAACACAUCACUAAGUUCUGGGGAUCUAAAAUGCAUUUCCAAUAACUUUUGGAUCUGAAUUCCAAUAAAGAAGAUCUGCCCCGCGUUGCA